AGAAAAUUAGUGUGCUUCACAGGGCAGAGAAAGAGGCCUUUGUGACUAAAGAGACCUUUCUUUAGCAAUAGGAACCAAUGACUUUUCAUGCUUCCAAUAGAAAUGGCUUUGAGGGAAUAUCAGAAAUGGAUGAGACUUUACAUGGAAAGCUUCACAGUGACAAACUGCAGAAUCAGUUGAAUGAUUUCCUUCCUUGAUAACAGCCAGAGACCCUCCAACAGACAUGUCUUACUAGGGUUCACGAGCCCAGGAACUUGAAAUCUGCUACAGUGCACUACCACGAGAGCCUUGCGUAAUACAUGUCUGGCAGCAGAACUCAGCAUUGGUCAAGUAGUUCUGGUUUUGCAGGUAUUCAGAAUGGAAGGUCAUGGGGGCUUCUUAAAACUCCAGGGAAAAUAAUUUCGACUUAGGAAUUUGUAGCCAGGUCAUAUUCCCUGCUUGGAAGACUUCAGAUGAGAGAAGAGCCAUGAAGCUGGACAUACAACAAAGAUUUCGUCUUUGUGAAUACAUUGUAGACUUCGGACCAGUUUGUGGACUCUUAUAAGACUUUCCAAAUGGAUUAAAUACACCCUGUA
rnacentral:lncRNA from 1 species